AUAUUCUGUUAAUUGAAACGAACAGAGAUUAUCUUCUCCCAAACACCAAAACCUAAACUAUCACUCCAAUCCAAAAACACAUUUCCUUUUAAGAGGAUUAGGUGGUCGCGGAAACAAACAAAAUCGUGCUUUAUGUUUUAGAUGGGACAUGUGACAACGUCGUUCAGGGAGGUCAUGACGGUGCCGUUCAGGAAAAUUGCGACGGUACCAACUAUGGAGGCUCAUCCGUUGGUCUUCUAUUUGUGGGUAAAGAACGAAACUGGUUUGAGGGCUAAAGAGUUUUUUUUUUCUUCAUCUUUUGGUCUAUAGUUUCUAGUCCUUAGUUUUGUAAAUCAACCCAACAUAAUUUGUAUCAUGCGGACAAUGGCUAAGGGCAAUGAGAAUUGUUUUUUAUUAAUUAA